rnacentral:rRNA from 1 species
GAUGAACGCUGGCGGCGUGCUUAACACAUGCAAGUCGAGCGGGCAAUUUAUCUAGCACUGAUUACUUCAAAUGGCUAUCGCCAGUGUAAUCAUGAAUUUCUACCUUUUAAUAAAGAAAAAGAAAUUCAUGUACGCAAAUAGUGAUAACACAUGAAAGUGGAGUGAUGAGUGCUGGAUAAAUUGCUAGCGGCGGACGGGUGCGUAACACGUGGGUAACCUGCCCCUAUCACUGGGAUAACACACUGAAAAGUGUGCUAAUACCAGAUAAUAUAAGCUUUUGGCAUCAUUAGCUUAUCAAAGAAUUUCGGAUAGGGAUGGGCCCGCGUCUGAUUAGCUAGUUGGUGAGGUAACGGCUCACCAAGGCAACGAUCAGUAGCCGACCUGAGAGGGUGAUCGGCCACACUGGAACUGAGACACGGUCCAGACUCCUACGGGAGGCAGCAGUGGGGAAUAUUGCACAAU